rnacentral:rRNA from 1 species
CCCUUAGAUGUUCUGGGCCGCACGCGCGCUACACUGAUGCAUUCAACGAGCCUAUCCUUGACCGACAGGUCCGGGUAAUCUUUGAAUCUGCAUCGUGACGGGGAUAGAUUAUUGCAAUUAUUAAUCUUCAACGAGGAAUGCCUAGUAGGCGCAAGUCAUCAGCUUGCGUCGAUUACGUCCCUGCCCUUUGUACACACCGCCCGUCGCUCCUACCGAUUGGGUGUGCUGGUGAAAUGUUCGGAUCGGCCGUUUGUCGCGGUUUCCGCGUCAUGUGGCUGAGAAGUUCAUUAAACCCUCCCACCGAGAGGAAGGAGAAGGCGGAACA